AUUGAACGCUGGCGGCAGGCUUAACACAUGCAAGUCGAGCGGUAACAGAGAGAAGCUUGCUUCUCUGCUGACGAGCGGCGGACGGGUGAGUAAUGCCUAGGAAUCUGCCUAGUAGUGGGGGAUAACUUGCCGAAAGGUAAGCUAAUACCGCAUACGUCCUACGGGAGAAAGGAGGGGACCUUCGGGCCUUUCGCUAUUAGAUGAGCCUAGGUCGGAUUAGUUAGUUGGUGAGGUAAUGGCUCACCAAGACCGCGAUCCGUAACUGGUCUGAGAGGAUGGUCAGUCACAGUGGAACUGAGACAGGGUCCAGACUCCUACGGGAGGCAGCAGUGGGGGAUAUUGGACAAUGGGGGGAACCCUGAUCCAGCCAUGCCGCGUGUGUGAAGAAGGUCUUAGGAUUGUAAAGCACUUUAAGUUGGGAGGAAGAGCAGUUAACUAAUAUUUGACUGUUUUGACGUUACCGACAGAAUAAGCACCGGCUAACUUCGUGCCAGCCGCCGCCGUAA
rnacentral:rRNA from 1 species